rnacentral:rRNA from 1 species
AUUGAACGCUGGCGGCAGGCCUAACAAAUGCAAGUCGAGCGAGCGGCGGACGGGUGAGUAAUGUAUGGGGACUGCACGAUAGAGGGGGAUAACUACUGGAAACGGUAGCUAAUACCGCAUACUAGCGGAUAACCCAUAUGUGAUUAGAUGGUAGGUUAGGUAAUGGCUCACCUAGGCGACGAUCCAUAGCUGGUCUGAGAGGGUGAUCAGCCACACGGGGACUGAGACACGGCCCAGACUCCGACGGAGGCAGCAGGGGGGAAUAUUGCACAAUGGGCGCAAGCCUGAGUCAGCCAUGCCGCGUGUAGGAAGAAGGCCCUAGGGUUGUAAAGUACUUUCAGUCGUGAAGCGUUACCGACAGAAGAAGCACCGGCUAACUCCGUGCCAGCAGCCGCGGUAAAAC